rnacentral:rRNA from 1 species
GACGAACGCUGGCGGCGUGCCUAAUACAUGCAAGUCGAGCGGACGAAUCGAAAGCUUGCUUUUGAUUCGUUAGCGGCGGACGGGUGAGUAACACGUGGGCAACCUGCCCUGUAGACGGGGAUAACACCGAGAAAUCGGUGCUAAAACCGGAUAACACGAAAUGUCGCAUGACGUUUCGUUGAAAGACGGCGCAAGCUGCCGCUACAGGAUGGGCCCGCGGCGCAUUAGCUAGUUGGUGAGGUAACGGCUCACCAAGGCGACGAUACGUAGCCGACCUGAGAGGGUGAUCGGCCACACUGGGACUGAGACACGGCCCAGACUCCUACGGGAGGCAGCAGUAGGGAAUCUUCCGCAAUGGACGAAAGUCUGACGGAGCAACGCCGCGUGAGCGAAGAAGGCCUUCGGGUCGUAAAGCUCUGUUGUUAGGGAAGAACAAGUAACGCAGUAACUGGCGUUACCGUGACGGUACCUAACGAGAAAGCCACGGCUAACUACGUG